CUACGGGGGGCAGCAGCCAGGAAUAUUGGGCAAUGGACGAAAGUCUGACCCAGCGACGCCGCGUGGAGGAAGACGGCCUUAGGGUUGUAAACUCCUUUUGCCAAGUUUUUCAAGGCUUGGCGAAUAAGCCUCUACUAACUACGUGCCAGAAGUCUCGGUAAUACGUAGGAGGCAAGCGUUAUCCGGAUUCACUGGGCGUAAAGUGUGCGUAGGCGCCUUAGAAAGUCAUAUCUUAAAUACCAAGGCUUAACCUUGGAAAUGGGCAUGAUACUUUUAAGGUUGAGGAUUAUCAGGGAUGCUGGAACAGUUAGUGUAGUAGUGAAAUGCGUUGAUAUUAACUGGAACACCAAGGGCGAAGGCAGGCAUCUGGGAUUUUCCUGACGCUGAGGCACGAAAGCUAGGGUAGCGAAACGGAUUAGAUACCCUCGUAGUC
rnacentral:rRNA from 1 species